GUUUUGGAUUAAAAAAAUAUUAUCUUCUUUGGUACUUUCCAGAAGCAGGUGGCUUAGGACUGAGGGAGAGGAUUCUUCUCUCGAAUAUAUUUUCCCUGCUUAGCGUCAGGGCUGCUGACACAACUCCAUUUAGGAAUAAUUGCAUAAUUCUUCCCAAACAGGAGCUGUCCCGGUGGUUUCCACAGAAGGAGAGUUAGAGACACCCAAGCAAGGCUUGAGGUCUUGGGUACGUGCAGCCCUCCGCAUGUCGGUCCCAGGCAAACCAGGACUCUGACCUCUCCGUCAGAGGACCCGGCUGGUCCAGGUACCGGACACAGCCUCCCCACAACUGUGAUCACCAAAGAGCCAAAGAGGACACACAGGCACCAGUCCUCACAGUGAUGGAGACCUCUCAGCCUACACGGAUGGCCAAAGGACACCGAGGACCCCAGUAUCCUAGGCCGAGCCACUGGCUUCUGGGGACACCUAAACCUGACGAAGAAUCUGCUGAGGGCAGGCAAGUGAUGAGUCUGGCUUUGGGCACCCUGGAGAGCUGGAAGCUUCUAGCAGGAAUACACAACAAAGGCUUGAAAUUCACGAGACAUCUGGCCUAAAGAUACGUAAGUGGGUGUCAUCCACAGACAAGGGGAAAUUUAACCCACAAAAAGCAAGACGGCCCA
rnacentral:lncRNA from 1 species